rnacentral:rRNA from 1 species
GCAAGAUACCACGGGCGCACGGCGGAUGCCUUGGCACAGGGAGCCGAUGAAGGACGCGGCAAGCUGCGAUAAUCCCCGGCGAGGAGCACACAUCCUUCGACCCGGGGGUCUCCGAAUGGGCGAACCCAUGCACAGCAGUGUGCAUAUCCCCCCGCUGAACACAUAGGCGGGGGGAGGACAACCCGGGGAACUGAAACAUCUAAGUACCCGGAGGAGAGGAAAUCAAUCUCGAGACUCCCCGAGUAGCGGCGAGCGAAAGGGGACCGAUGGCCAAACCGUCGAGCGGGCAUACCCGGCAGGGGUUCCGCCGACGGGGUUGCAGGGCCGCGCAUCCGGGGGCUGCCGCCCCCGGGCGCAGGUCCGGCUGGGGAGCGGAACGGCAUGGGAGGGCCGGCCGCAGCGGGUGACAGCCCCGUACGCGAACCCAGACCGGACGGCGCGACGCGGUCCCUGAGUAGGGCCGGGCACGUGAAACCCGGUCCGAACCUGGGUGGACCACCAUCCAAGCCUGAGUACUACCCUGUGACCGAUAGCGCACCAGUACCGUGAGGGAAAGGUGAAAAGCACCCCGGGAGGGGAGUGAAACAGUACCUGAAACCGUGCGCCCACGAGCAGUCGGAGCACCUUUAUGGUGUGACGGCGUGCCUUUUGUAGAAUGAGCCAGCGAGUCGCUGGCGCGGGGCGAGGUUAACCGAAAGGGAGCCGGAGCGAAAGCGAGCCUUAACAGGGCGACUUGAGUCCCGCGCCGCGGACGCGAAGCCGGGUGAGCUAUCCGUGGGCAGGCUGAAGCGGGGGUAAGACCCCGUGGAGGGCCGAACGCACGUCGGUUGAAAACGGCGGCGAUGACCUGCGGAUAGGGGUGAAAGGCCAAUCAAACCCGGAGAUAUCUCGUUCUCCCCGAAAUAGCUUUAGGGCUAGCGUCGCGCGUUCACCGCCGGAGGUAGAGCACCGGAUGGACGAGGGGGCUUCGCCGCCUACCGAAUCCAACCGAACUCCGAAUGCCGGCGGCCCAGAGCGCGGCAGUCAGAGCAUGUGGGCUAAGCUGUGUGCUCGAGAGGGAAACAGCCCGGACCGCCCGCUAAGGUCCCCAAGUUCCAGCCGAGUGGCAAAGGAUGUGCGUCCGCCCAGACAACCAGGAUGUUGGCUUAGAAGCAGCCAUCCAUUCAAAGAGUGCGUAACAGCUCACUGGUCGAGUGGACAUGCGCCGACAAUACACGGGGCUAAGCUGGACACCGAAGCGGCGGGAUUUUAAUUCAUUAGAAUCGGUAGGGGAGCUUCCCAUGGGCGGAGAAGCCGGAGGGCGACCGACGGUGGAGCGCAUGGGAGUGAGAAUGCUGGCAUGAGUAGCGAGAGACGAGAGAGUAACUCGUCCGCCGUGAACCCGAGGUUUCCUGGGCAAGGCUAAUCCUCCCAGGGUCAGUCGGGGGCUAAGGCGAGGCCGGGAGGCGUAGCCGACGCGCAGCAGGCAGACAUUCCUGCACCGCGCACGCGGCGCUACGACCGACGGGGCGACGGAUGGGGGUGGCUCGGCGGGGUUCUGGACGUCCCCGUGAUGGAGCGCGGCCCGCGGACCAGGGAAAUCCGGUCCGCAGAAGGGCGAGGCUCCGGACGAAGCGACUGAGCGAAGCGAGUGAGCCCGAGGUCCCUAGAAAAACCCCUAGGCAGGCGCGUGCGCGCCCGUACCGCAAACCGACACAGGUGGGUGGGUAGAACAUACCGAGGCGAUCGGGUCAACCAUGGUCAAGGAACUCGGCACAAUGGCCCCGUAACUUCGGGAGAAGGGGUGCCCGCGCGUACGUGAACCGGCUCGCCCGGGGAGCGGAGGCGGGCCGCAGUGGAGAGGCCCAAGCGACUGUUUACCAAAAACACAGGACUCUGCAGAAGCCGCAAGGCGACGUAUAGGGUCUGACGCCUGCCCGGUGCCGGAAGGUCACGCGGAGGAGUUAGCCGAUUCGGCGAAGCCCCGAAGCCAAGCCCCGGUAAACGGCGGCCGUAACUAUAACGGUCCUAAGGUAGCGAAAUUCCUUGUCGGGUAAGUUCCGACCUGCACGAAU